UACGUAGGGUGCGAGCGUUGUCCGGAAUUAUUGGGCGUAAAGGGCUCGUAGGCGGUUUGUCGCGUCGGGAGUGAAAACGCCGUGCUUAACACGGCGCUUGCUUUCGAUACGGGCAGACUAGAGGUAUUCAGGGGAGAACGGAAUUCCUGGUGUAGCGGUGAAAUGCGCAGAUAUCAGGAGGAACACCGGUGGCGAAGGCGGUUCUCUGGGCAUGAUCUGACGCUGAGGAGCGAAAGUGUGGGGAGCGAACAGG
rnacentral:rRNA from 1 species